rnacentral:rRNA from 1 species
UACGUAGGGUGCAAGCGUUGUCCGGAAUUAUUGGGCGUAAAGAGCUCGUAGGCGGUUUGUCGCGUCGAAUGUGAAAACCCGAAGCUCAACUUCGGGCCUGCAUCCGAAACUGCCCGACUAGAGGUAGGUAGGGGAGAUCGGAAUUCCUGGUGUAGCGGUGAAAUGCGCAGAUAUGCGGAGGAACACCGAUGGCGAAGGCAAUCCCCUGGGCCUGCACUGACGCUCAUGCACGAAAGCGUGGGGAGCAAACAGG